rnacentral:tRNA from 1 species
GGGCCCGUACGACGCCAUCGGGCACACGGUUACUCUUAAUCACUAGGUUCUCGGUUCGAAUCCGAGGGGGCUCA